rfam:Anopheles epiroticus strain epiroticus2 unplaced genomic scaffold supercont1.25, whole genome shotgun sequence.
GUCGGGUACGGCGAUAUGGCGCCGAAAACGUACGUCGGCAUGUUCGUCGGUGCGCUCUGUGCGCUGGCCGGUGUGCUGACGAUCGCCCUGCCGGUGCCGGUUAUUGUCAGUAAU